UGCAAUUUAUUAGGCAUAUACAUAUACCGGUAUAAUUUUACUGAUUGAAUCGUUCCUCUAUUUCUUGACUCUAUAUUUUGAAAAAGAAAUUUCUUUGUAAUCAGACUGUGCAUCCUGAGUAACAGUUGUCCUCAAAUGUUAGGCUACGCUUAAUAGCGAAUAACAUUUGACUUUCAGCAUUACCAUUUGAUGUCCUUAGAAAUAACACACCAAAGUUUAGAUCCUAUCUCUGCUCCGAAACACAGGUUUAUGAAGCACCCAAAGAACGUAUUGAGCACUGCCUCGGCCCCAGUGCCAGACCCCAUCCAAGCAGCGAGUUCCUGUGUUUUGGAGUUGGCUCCCUGUUUGUGUAGGAGGUUUCAGGAGGAAGUGCCUUUAGAUGCAGGACCCUGUAGUUGUGUAAGAGUUUGAUUCUAGUCCAGUAGACACGACACAAUGCCAGAGCAAAUGCAGGUUGGAGGUUUGGAGGGAAACAAUAGAAAACAAAGAGCACAAUGAGUGUUAUUAGCAGUGUUUAAAAUGAUGAGGUGCUAACCACAUUUGUAUAAAUAACAGUUUCUCUAACCCCUGAGUCAUUAUCCUGUAUUUUUAAUGCAGGCUGUUCAUAAACAUCAAAGCUAGAACACCAGAUUUGUAUGGGGUCAAGACCACUGUGGCUCUGAGCGGAGAGACAGCUGAGAGCCGUGUCCGAGCGUGGGUGGCCUUGCAGCUGCUGACCCGCCCCGGGCUACUAGACAGUUGCCUCUUGGGCUGCGGAACCAGACUUCAGUCUUAGCUGAAGAUGCACCCCUCCCACAGAAAGGACAUAAAAGUGGGUGACAGCAGCUCUGGAAAUAGCAGAGGCAGCCAGACAGCAGUUAACCGUAAGUGCUGCGCUGCGUGGUACCAAGCACAGCAUCAGCGUGGUUUCCACCCGGCAGUACUUGUCUCUGUACGGGAACAUUGGGUCCUCUCAGCUGUGGUAAGAUCAAAGCUCGUAGUCCUAACUGUUCAGUGUGAGUCCACCCAUCUCCACAAAGGGAAGCAAUGCUAGGAAUAUCUGGAUUGCCUGAGACACAGCUGCCCUGUCGUGGUUCUUACUGGGAUUCUAAAUACACUCCUGAACCAUAAGAGAAGUUGUAUGUACGUUGGGCAUUUUAAGAAAUAUCAGCAUUCAUUGUUAUGUGAAAUACAGCGUAAUUCUGGAAUCAACUGAGUUCAGAGGUCAGUUUUAUUAGCUAUGAGUCCUGCCACAAAUCUCGAGACGUUUUUGAAGCCAGCAUGUGACGUAGGUGUGACAGCAUGGUUUCUUCCGGAAGGCUUGAGGUAUGGCUGAGGGGUGGAGGGGUCUCCAGAUGUGCAUACCCAUUCUGGGACGAGGGGCCAGGCCCGCAGAUGUGCCGUUCCUUUCUUGUCUGUGGAACUGCAAAUACGUCUUUUCUAGAUAAAGUGUAUGCUCCACAAGAGGUUAAAGUCCACGAAUAGCAGAUACUUACAGAGACCCAGUAAUUACACCCUCUUCGGGAAAAGGUCCCAGUUACAGAAGAUGCUGUGUCACAGUAUCAUGGCACUGUUUUUAAUAGUCCCAAGUUUUAAACACCCUACGUAUUCACCGAUAUGCAGACAUUUACAAGAACCUGAGAACUGUGCAGUGUCUACUCCUUCCUUUUAAAAUGAUCACCAUGAAGACUGGUGGCAACGCACGUGUCAGUGGUGUUACCUGAAAGUAUAAACAUGACCACAGGUUCAAAGUUUAUAUCCCAGAAUGGGUUUGAUUAUUUAAGAAUGUGAUGUCAUGCUUUUAAAGACUAAUAGUUUGAAAAGACAGAUUUCGUGAUGAAUAAAAUAAUCUAGACAUGUUUUUCUGCCUCUCUCUGUUCUGGAACCCUAGCAAUAAAUGUUUAAUAGAGCACUAUUAGGAUUUCGGAGAGAGAUGCCUUAGAUGACUGUAUUGAAAGACUUGAUUGCUAAAAUCCUAUCCUGUUUAAAUUUUACUAACUACCCUGCAGUGAGCAUUGAGUGAACAUUGAAUGUAAAAAAGUGACUCACCUUGUGACCCCCUGUUUCUCUGUGCCUCUUAAUUAAUAAAAAAUUAUUUUAAAACAGG
ensembl:lncRNA